GAUUAACGCUGGCGGCAUGCCUAAUACAUGCAAGUCGAACGGAAGCAGCAAUGCUUUAGUGGCGAACGGGUGAGUAACACGUAGGGAACCUACCUAUACGACGAGGAUAACUACUGGAAACGGUAGCUAAAACUGGAUAGGAUCAAUUGAGGCAUCUUGAUUGAUUUAAAGAUCCUUCGGGAUUACGUAGAGAUGGCCCUGCGGCGCAUUAGCUAGUUGGUGAGGUAACGGCCCACCAAGGCGACGAUGCGUAGCUGAGCUGAGAGGCUAAACAGCCACACUGGGACUGAGACACGGCCCAGACUCCUACGGGAGGCAGCAGUAGGGAAUUUUCGGCAAUGGGGGAAACCCUGACCGAGCAACGCCGCGUGAAGGAAGACGGCCCUACGGGUUGUAAAGCUCUUUCGCAAGGGAAGAAAACGUGUGGGCUAAUAUCCUGCGCGGAUGACGGUACCUUGACAAGAAGCACCGGCUAACUACGUGCCAGCAGCCGCGGUAAAUCACA
rnacentral:rRNA from 1 species